UACGAAGGGGGCUAGCGUUGCUCGGAAUCACUGGGCGUAAAGGGCGCGUAGGCGGCCUGAUCAGUCGGGGGUGAAAGCCUGUGGCUCAACCACAGAAUGGCCUUCGAUACUGUUGGGCUUGAGACCGGAAGAGGUAAGUGGAACUGCGAGUGUAGAGGUGAAAUUCGUAGAUAUUCGCAAGAACACCAGUGGCGAAGGCGGCUUACUGGUCCGGAUCUGACGCUGAGGCGCGAAAGCGUGGGGAGCAAACAGG
rnacentral:rRNA from 1 species